rnacentral:misc_RNA from 1 species
CGGGCAGAGAGAAGAAAACCCGAAAAUUAAAGAAGCCACGCAUGACAUCGCUGCUGCGAGUCUACGUCCCCUCUUUCCUCGCGCUACUUCCCUUCUCUCUCCCCGACAUUACACUCACACAGAGGUCUUGGUGGUGGUGGCGAAAGGGAGCGCGCACGACGGGUGGCGUCGAAGUCGAAGAGCUCCAAGAACAGCACGCGCACACCAUAUGUACGACCAGCUUGUAAAGGAGGGACCAUAGCAAGCGGACGCGGUGCAUCUACGCGUCAGAGGUGGGCCGAACGCCGAGUCACUGGCGGACAUACGAACGUCUUCUCCGCGAGUUCGCAGAUCCUGCCACUCACACGCACACACCACAGCAUGUACUGGAGCAUGCGGCGACUGCACAGCGUUGCCGUUGGCGGUGCAGCGCGUUGGCUGCGGAAGUGCGCUGCGGACGACUCUGCAGCAGCCGUGGCACCGCCCAAUCCUACCCCUGAGGCGGUGCCCUCGUCGUCUGUCGAUUCGGCCAGCGUCAUCCCUGGUGACUUUGCUUCUCUUACCGUGCGAGCGUACUUCAGGCAACCCCUUGUCGGCGUCGGUGUUCACCACUUCGCCGUCGGCCGAAUCAAGGAGCAGCUGUCGCACGACGAGUACAUCGUGGACAUGGAGGAGGUUCACCUGUCCCCGAUUGCCGAUGUGAGCACGCGAGUGUACGUGCGAGUCGGUCGCACGGCGACGAACGAAGACCGCAUCGCGGGCGGCAUUGUCGGACGCGUGAACAGCAAUGGUACUCUCGGCGUCCUAAUGGACAACAACAGUUUUGAGGCACAGGUGUCGCAGGACGACGUGAUUCUGGUGGAGGGGCGCUCCCGCUUCACGCGGGAGAAAGGAUACAAAGACAUGAUGGAGUGGUUUCGAAGCGCCGGUGUGCACCGCCGCGCUGAUCGCGAGCGGUUGUGCUUCUUGCUCUACCAGCGGGGCUGGCGUGUCGACAAACUAUACCUGCUGGAGCCGAGCGACGUUCACUGCAUGCAGUACUUGAGGAAGUCGGUGAGACAGAUGGUGCUGGAGAAGGCGGAGUGGCAGCGCGACCACCACGCAGAGAUGCGCGCGCUGCUGCGCGAGAGGGUGAAGGAGCGCGCGUGGCGCUACUUCAUUCAGAAGUACAGCGGCUUCGUCAGUGCGAACUGGGCCGGGCUCGGCGUCCUGUCCGUGUUCCUCUGGAACUACAAACGCUUCAGGCGUCAGCAGCGCUCGUUUCAGGUGAAGCAUGCCGUCAACACGCUCACCCACACAGACCACAGGCGCUCGAGCAGCCCGGCGGUGCCGCAGCAGUUCGUGGAGCGCGCGGCGGAGGAGAGAUGGACACGCCAAAUGCUCCGCCGGCUGAACAACACCCACCCGCGCAUCGCCGUGGUGACGGGGUUCCGCGGGUGCGGCAAGAGCUCGCUGCUGCGCUCGGCGGUGCGCAAGGAGCACAAACCCGCUCUCUUUGUCGAGGUGCGCGGGGUCGAGGACACGCUCACCUGCAUCGUGAAGGCGAUGAAGGUGCCGAAUCUCGAGUCGUGCGGGGACUACCUGGAGUUCAUUACAGAUACCUUUACCAAGGCAGCGAAGAUCAACGGUGAGCCACCCAUCUUGGUUGUCACGCUGCGAGAGGGAAGCGAGUUGUCGCGGGUGUACAACGAGUCCGUCGCACUCGCUUGUGAUCGCCGGCUAUGCCACCUCGUUUAUGAGGUGGCCUUGGAGUCACUGUCGAUUCCGAAUGUGCUUCUGCCACGGCUCGAUUUCUACUCGGUGCCGAACUUCAACGUUCGGCAGGCGCUCCAGUACACCGAACACACGGUGGACGCGGUGGCGAUGCAGCACUUCAUUGAAACGAUGGGGACGAACAGCAACGACAUUGACGAACUGCUGGCGGCCAUUCUGCACCGCAAAGUCUCGAUAGCGGAGUACACCGAGCAGAAGCUGCGGAGGGCGAUGCGGCAGGUCGAGACCGCUUGGGCCGGCUCCGAGAAGCUGAGGGCUGCACUGAAGAAGCUGGCUGAGGCGGACUGCUACGUCGGACAGGAGAAUGGCACCGACGCGCUGCGCGAUCCGGCGCUGAAGGAGAUGGUUUUGUACGACCCUGUGAGCGAUCGAUGGGUUUUUACCCACAAGGUCUACCACACCGCAGCGCGCUGCUGUCUAUAGUCCUCCGCAGAGCCGAGACACGACGCUGUUGAUGUGUCAAACGCGAUGGGCGCCACAUCCAUUCACGCGCUCAACGAAAAGCCACCUAAAACGGAGGAGGACAUGGCGAUCAGCGCAGAAGGAUGGAAGACGAUGCGGGGCGCUGACCGUGCAGGCGACCCCCCCCCUCGCGUACCUCUCCAUUGUGCCGCACCGCACACCCUCUUUGCUUUUCGGCAUGCUCCUCGCCUGCCUGCCCGGCCACGUGUACCGUGCUCGCAUCGCUAUGUGCCAGGAACUUAUCUGCGAUGCUGUGCGGAGUUGGGGGAGGGGGGCGUUUGGGCAAGAAUGAGGCAGGAGGGGCUGCUGCGCUGGCAGGCCGUGAUGAGACGUUCUUCUUGCCUCCUCCAGUCGCCCGUCACCACGUGUGUGCGUGUGCACGGCGUGCUCUCACACCUACUGUAACACCCCUUCAGCCCCUCUCGCCCACCCAUCUACCCCCGCUUGAGUCUUGCCAGGGGGUGGGUGUGCGCAGCGCGUCACGUUGACGUUAAGGGCAGGGGCUUGGAGGUGGGCGUCGAGGCAGAAGGGUACGUCCUCGGCGCAGGCUGCCUUUGUCUUCGUCGUCAUUCAGCUCCCCUCUUCCUCCCCUCCCCCCACGCGUCACUGCUGUCUCCACUCGACACUAUCCUCCCUCCCUCUCUAUCCUUCUCGCCACCCUUUUCUUCGAUCACUUUUAUCACGCCUUCCCUCUGUGUGCACACACGCGCGCUGCGUUCUCGGUACUCCCUCCCUCCCCCCUCUCCACAUCCGCCCUGCCCUGCCCCCUUCACGCCGCGCGUGGAACGUGCGUGGCGCGCCCCUCAG